ACCAGCUUCUGCAAAGCCCAGCCAGGAGCUCAAGUGUUCUGUUCCCCCAGCUGUCAAUCAGAGUAGGGAGGGCAUGAAGGAGACAUAGGAGAUAGAUUCAUGAAGAAUACUUGUUACUUUUAUAUGUGAUCUGCAACUUUAAGAAUUUUUUUCCUGAUACUACCAAAAUGAAUUCAUCAAAAGAUAGCCUAAUGAUGAGACUUUUCUGCCACUUUGCUGUUAUUAGACUCCAGGGAGUAAAUGUCUUAUUAUUAUAAAAAGGGAAAUUAUGAGCUUUUUCUCCAAGAGCUAUAAGACAAUCUUAUCUUCAUUUUCAUUCUUCCAGGUGGUUAUGUUGAACAUGUAAAUAUUCUCCCUGCUGUGAGUAUUACUGCAGCUGCCCAAAGAUGCUAUAUUUUAAAGAUGUGGAUACAGGAAGAUAAAAGCAUCAGAAACACUGCAUGAGAAAAUCAUUCAGACUGCAGCUCCCUGGUUUUAGACAUCCCCACUGGCAAUUGGGACAUCUAUUUUGGAGAUGUAAUUGAAAAGACUGAAGAAUGUACUGAGGACCUUCUGGCUGACAGAAGCUGACAAAGAAGCCAAGAUUGGUGAAGAUUUCUGCAAUACCUGAGUUUCUAAUCACAACAACAAAAAUGGUAUUUAUUUCCUAUUGACCCAAACAGUGGCAACGUUUUAGUCAAGGUGAUUUAGAGGAGGUUAGAAAGAGAGGUGGAUGCUUGGGCCAUAUUAGAGGCAGAAAAUGGGUUAUUCUCUCAUUAUCUUUU
rnacentral:lncRNA from 1 species